rnacentral:misc_RNA from 1 species
GAUGAAGAACGUAGCGAAAUGCGAUAAGUAAUGUGAAUUGCAGAAUUCAGUGAAUCAUCGAAUCUUUGAACGCACAUUGCGCCCGCCAGUAUUGUGGCGGGCAUGCCUGUUCGAGCGUCAUUUCAACCAUCAAGCCCCAGGCUUGUGUUGGGGACCUGCGGCUGCCGCAGGCCCUGAAAACCAGUGGCGGGCUCGCUGUCACACCGGGCGUAGUAGAUUUUAUCUCGCUCAGGGCGUGCUGCGGGUUCCGGCCGUUAAAAAGCCUUUUUUACCCAAGGUUGACCUCGGAUCAGGUAGGAAGACCCGCUGAACUUAAGCAUAUCAAUAAGCGGAGGA